AUUGAACGCUGGCGGCAGGCCUAACACAUGCAAGUCGAGCGGCUGAAGAGAACUUGCUCCUUGUUUCGGCUGCGGACGGGUGGGUAAUUCCUGGGAAUCUCCCUGUUUAUGUUUUAUAACGGCCUGACACGGGCGAUAAUACCCCAUAAGUCCUGACGGCGUAAGUGUGGAAUCUUGGGACCUCCCGAUCUCGCGUGAUCCUAGGUCCCGAUGUCGGAUUAGCUAGUUGGCGGGGUAAAGGCCCACCAAGGCGACGAUCCGUAGCUGGUCUGAGAGGAUGAUCAGCCACACUGGAACUGAGACACGGUCCAGACUCCUACGGGAGGCAGCAGUGGGGAAUAUUGGACAAUGGGCGCAAGCCUGAUCCAGCCAUGCCGCGUGGGUGAAGAAGGUCUUCGGAUUGUAAAGCCCUUUUGUUGGGGAGGAAGGGCAGUAAGUUAAUACCUUGCUGUUCUGACGUUACCAAAAGAAUAAGCACCGGCUAACUUCGUG
rnacentral:rRNA from 1 species